UACGAAGGGGGCUAGCGUUGUUCGGAAUUACUGGGCGUAAAGCGCGCGCAGGCGGUUCUUCAAGUCAGAGGUGAAAGCCCAGAGCUCAACUCUGGAAUGGCCUUUGAGACUAGAGAACUUGGGUACGGGAGAGGUGAGUGGAAUUCCGAGUGUAGAGGUGAAAUUCGUAGAUAUUCGGAAGAACACCAGUGGCGAAGGCGGCUCACUGGCCCGUUACCGACGCUCAGGCGCGACAGCGUGGGGAGCAAACAGG
rnacentral:rRNA from 1 species